rnacentral:rRNA from 1 species
UACGUAGGGGGCAAGCGUUGUCCGGAUUUAUUGGGCGUAAAGAGCGUGUAGGCGGCCAGGUAGGUCAGCUGUGAAAACUCGAGGCUCAACCUCGAGACGUCGGUUGAAACCACCUGGCUAGAGUCCGGAAGAGGAGAGUGGAAUUCCUGGUGUAGCGGUGAAAUGCGCAGAUAUCAGGAAGAACACCCGUGGCGAAGGCGGGUCUCUGGGCAGUAACUGACGCUGAGGAGCGAAAGCGUGGGGAGCGAACAGG